rnacentral:sRNA from 1 species
CGUCGUCGAUCUGCUGCGGGCAGAUGAAAUGGAUGUGCACGUCGAGCGCGCCGGCGGUCAGGAUCUUGCCUUCGCCGGCGAUCGCCUCCGUGCCCGGGCCGACGACGAUGUCGACGUUCGGCUGGACGUCCGGGUUGCCGGCCUUGCCGAUGGCGGCGAUGCGGCCGUCCCUGAUGCCGACGUCGGCCUUGACGAUGCCCCAGUGGUCGACGAUCAGCACGUUGGUGAUCACGGUGUCGACGGCGCCGGCGGAGCGCGGUGCCUGGGAUUGGCCCAUGCCGUCGCGGAUG